rnacentral:rRNA from 1 species
UACGUAGGGUGCAAGCGUUAAUCGGAAUUACUGGGCGUAAAGCGUGCGCAGGCGGUUUUGUAAGCCAGAUGUGAAAGCCCCGGGCUCAACCUGGGAAUGGCAUUUGGGACUGCAAGGCUUGAGUGCGGCAGAGGAGACUGGAAUUCCUGGUGUAGCAGUGAAAUGCGUAGAUAUCAGGAGGAAUACCGAUGGCGAAGGCAGGUCUCUGGGCUGACACUGACGCUCAUGCACGAAAGCGUGGGGAGCAAACAGG